rnacentral:piRNA from 1 species
UCACUUCAGAAACUCUGGGUGUGGGU